AAGUUUUACCUCUACAAAUUCAAACGACGGUGAUAGUCGUUGUAACACCAUCAUUGAUUAGAUCCACCACCAGAAAUAUAAUAAUAAUCACAACAGCAGAUCGAUCCGGACGAUGUUGUUGAUGAUGAUAUAUGAAAUUGAUUAGACAAAUCAGGAAUUGAAGUUUAUGAUUCAAUUCGAUUGACAGAAGGUUUCGUUUGCCAGAGCUUUACACUCAUCGAAGUUCUUAGGGACUAUUUCAUGGUAAACAAGUGAUCCAAACAAAGACAACCAUUCAUUCAGCUUGCGGAGUUCAAGCUACUUGAAAUCGUUUGCCCUUGAGAAAUUCUUGUGUCGAGUACCAGAACCAAAAAUGAAAUUGGGACUAUUUAAUGGUAAACAAGUGAUCCAGACAAAGACGAACAUUCAUUCAGCUUGCGGAGUUCAAGCUACUUGAAAUCGUUGGCCCUUAAGAAAUUCUUGUGUCAAGUACCAGAACCAAAAAUGAAAUUGGUAUGUAUAGUUGUGUUGAUAUUUUCUGCACAAAAUGAAUUUGUGAAUACUUUCUGCACAUAACAAAUUUUGUGGAUAUUCUCUGCACAAAGUGAACUGCGGAUAUAUAAUGUACAAAUUACCAGUCUCAAUUGUGCAGUUCUUUAUUUGGGACAAUGGACUGACCACUAGGAAUU